rnacentral:rRNA from 1 species
AAACUCAAAGGAAUUGACGGGGACCCGCACAAGCGGUGGAGCAUGUGGUUUAAUUCGAAGCAACGCGAAGAACCUUACCAAGUCUUGACAUCCCGAUGACCGUCCCGUAACGGGGGCUUCUCUUCGGAGCAUCGGUGACAGGUGGUGCAUGGUUGUCGUCAGCUCGUGUCGUGAGAUGUUGGGUUAAGUCCCGCAACGAGCGCAACCCUUAUCUUUAGUAGCCAGCGGUACGGCCGGGCACUCUAGAGAGACUGCCAGGGAUAACCUGGAGGAAGGUGGGGAUGACGUCAAAUCAUCAUGCCCCUUAUGACUUGGGCUACACACGUGCUACAAUGGCGUAAACAAAGGGAAGCGAAACUGUGAAGUCUAGCAAAUCUCAAAAAAAA